GCUUAUAUAGUCUAGUUGGUUAGGAUGUGUCUGUUUUGUAUUGAGUGUUUUCAGGAUGGCGUGAGUUCGAAUCCCGCAAGGCGCC